UACGAGGGGGGCAAAUGUUGUUCGGAAUCACUGGGCGUAAAGGGAGCGUAGGCGGGUCUUAAGUCAGGGGUGAAAUCCUGGAGCUCAACUCCAGAACUGCCUUUGAUACUGAAGAUCUUGAGUUCGGGAGAGGUGAGUGGAACUGCGAGUGUAGAGGUGAAAUUCGUAGAUAUUCGCAAGAACACCAGUGGCGAAGGCGGCUCACUGGCCCGAUACUGACGCUGAGGCACGAAAGCGUGGGGAGCAAACAGG
rnacentral:rRNA from 1 species